ACAGAGGGGGCAAGCGUUGUUCGGAAUUACUGGGCGUAAAGGGCGCGUAGGCGGCCGCCUAAGUCAGACGUGAAAUCCCUCGGCUCAACCGGGGAACUGCGUCUGAUACUGGGUGGCUUGAAUUCGGGAGAGGGAUGCGGAAUUCCAGGUGUAGCGGUGAAAUGCGUAGAUAUCUGGAGGAACACCGGUGGCGAAGGCGGCAUCCUGGACCGAGAUUGACGCUGAGGCGCGAAAGCCAGGGGAGCAAACGGGAUUAGAUACCCCGGUAGUCCUGGCCCUAAACGAUGAGUGCUUGGUGUGGCGGGUAUCGAUCCCUGCCGUGCCGAAGCUAACGCAUUAAGCACUCCGCCUGGGGAGUACGGUCGCAAGGCUG
rnacentral:rRNA from 1 species